UACGUAUGGUGCAAGCGUUAUCCGGAUUUACUGGGUGUAAAGGGAGCGUAGACGGAGGGGCAAGUCUGAAGUGAAAGCCCGGGGCUCAACCCCGGGACUGCAUUGGAAACUGUCCUGCUAGAGUGUCGGAGGGGUAAGUGGAAUUCCUAGUGUAGCGGUGAAAUGCGUAGAUAUUAGGAGGAACACCGGUGGCGAAGGCGGCUUACUGGACGACAACUGACGCUGAGGCUCGAAAGCGUGGGGAGCAAACAGG
rnacentral:rRNA from 1 species